rnacentral:ncRNA from 1 species
GACAAUACAAUUGGUAAGACUCGUAUAUAAUCGGUAAUAUGGUCCGAAAGUUUCUACCUGCAAACCAUAAAUUUGCAGACUACGGGGAGUUGUAUUUUAUUA